GUAUUUGACCGUGCUAGGUAGCAUAAUCAUUAGUUUCUUAAUUAGAAGCUGGAAUGAAGGUUUGAUGAAAAAAUUACUGUCUCAAUUUAAAAUUUUUGAAUUUUAUUUUUAAGUGAAAAAGCUUAAAUGAAUAUGAAAGACGAGAAGACCCUAUAGAGUUUUAUUUUUAUUUUCAUUAAAAUUUAAAUUUUAGUAUUUUAUUUAUUUUAAUGAAUAAGAAUUAAUUGGGGUGAUUAAAAAAUUUACUAAACUUUUUUUUCAUAAAGCCAUUUUUAUAAAUGAAUUCGGAUGAUCCUUUUUUAAAGAUUAAAAGACAAAAUUACCUUAGGGAUAACAGCGUUAUUUUUCCUGAGAGU
rnacentral:rRNA from 1 species